UCGGCUAACGAAAAAUAUAUUUAUUAAAACAAAUGACUAAGAUAUGAUUUAAAUAUCACUACUACAUGCAAGUAAUUACUGAGACGUUUCAAAAAUAUGGUCUUAAUGAAUAAACGUGGGAAAUUUUGAACAUAACAUUAUUCCAUACAUAUUACAAUGAACCUACUAAAAUGCGACAUGAAUUUGACUACUCAAAACAUCACUAUAACGUACGCAUAAAAUGUUUCAAAAAUAUUUUCCACAUGAAUGAACGUGCGAAAUAUUAAGCAUAACAGCACCAUUUCACAUAUAUUACAAUAAACCAACUUACAAUAAGAUGUGACGUAAAUUUAUAUUAUGUAAAAUAUCAUUAUUACGUACACGUAAAUAUCUACACGUUUAAAAAAAUACGCUCCAAAUAAAUGAAUGUGUGAAAUUUUGAACAUAUCAUCAUUCCAAGUAAAUUAAAACAAAACUUAUUAAAAUACUACAUAAAGUCGUAUAACUCGAAACAUUCCCACUAACAUACAUACUACUAUAAAUUAUACAAAGUCUGAUCGAAAUGAAUGCUAUGUUAAAAAUUUGGAAGAUAGACAGGAAUAAACGAGUUUGUUCGUUUUCAACGACCGUAAACGUGACUUUGACGAUUUCCUUUUUCUCUCUCUCUCUUUCUCUUUCUACGUAUCCGUGUUAAUUAAUUUGCCCGGUUGUUAAAGAGGACAGGGCCAUAGGAGGAAAAGAAUUGACACGUUUAAAUCGUCCAACAAAGGAGCGAGUUAGCGUAUCGCGCGUGCUGGAGCGAACGAACGAGCUCGCAGAAGAGAGUAUGAGCGGGUUACGUGCUUCGGUGACAUUUAAGUCGCAUAUAUGCUCGCCUUAUUAAGCACGCACGUUGCCUGCCCGUGUAAGACUCGCGAGGCGUUGACGAGAGCAAGCGUAGGGUUGUUAACGACGUGUCUCGUCCAAAAAGGAAAAGGAAAAGGAAAAGGAAAA
rnacentral:lncRNA from 1 species